rnacentral:rRNA from 1 species
GAUGAAAAGCACUUUGGAAAGAGAGUCAAACAGUACGUGAAAUUGUUGAAAGGGAAGCGCUUGCAACCAGACUUGCCCGCGGGUGAUCAGCCGGUAUUCUUACCGGUGCACUCGCCCGUGGUCAGGCCAGCAUCGGUUUGGGCGGCUGGAUAAAGUCCACCGGAAUGUAGCUCCUCUCGGGGAGUGUUAUAGCCGGAGGUGCCAUGCAGCCCGCCCGGACCGAGGACCGCGCUUUGGCUAGGAUGCUGGCGUAAUGGUUGUAAGCGACCCGUCUUGAAACACGGACCAAGGAGUCUAACAUCUAUGCGAGUGUUUGGGUGUCAAACCCAUGCGCGUAAUGAAAGUGAACGGAGGUGGGAACCCUUAAGGGUGCACCAUCGACCGAUCCUGAUGUCUUCGGAUGGAUUUGAGUAAGAGCAUAGCUGUUGGGACCCGAAAGAUGGUGAACUAUGCCUGAAUAGGGUGAAGCCAGAGGAAACUCUGGUGGAGGCUCGCAGCGGUUCUGACGUGCAAAUCGAUCGUCAAAUUUGGGUAUAGGGGCGAAAGACUAAUCGAACCAUCUGCUACUAGAUGGCACACGGGCCCAUGUGGCCCGGUAGUCCCCGUGAGGUGGGGGCGACAUCGUCGGUCUUUUUGGGGCUACCCGGAGUGAGCUUCGGGCUCAUCCUCCGACUAAGUGGCGGUGGCCGUGGCUCCGAGCACGGUUAGGAU